GGAGAGAUGGCCGAGAGGUUGAAGGCGCUCGCCUCGAAAGCGAGUGGACGGCAGCCCCGUCCCGUGAGUUCGAAUCUCACUCUCUCCG
rnacentral:tRNA from 1 species